GCUCAGGAUGAACGCUAGCUACAGGCUUAACACAUGCAAGUCGAGGGGUAGCAGGGUAGCAAUACCGCUGACGACCGGCGCACGGGUGAGUAACACGUAUCCAACCUUCCCAUAACUCGGGGAUAGCCUUUCGAAAGAAAGAUUAAUACCCGAUAGUACUUUAUUAAGGCAUCUUAAGAAAGUUAAAGAUUUAUUGGUUAUGGAUGGGGAUGCGUUCCAUUAGAUAGUUGGUGAGGUAACGGCUCACCAAGUCUUCGAUGGAUAGGGGUUCUGAGAGGAAGGUCCCCCACAUUGGUACUGAGACACGGACCAAACUCCUACGGGAGGCAGCAGUGAGGAAUAUUGGUCAAUGGGCGAGAGCCUGAACCAGCCAA
rnacentral:rRNA from 1 species